UCCACCAUCACCAUUUUUGCUGAAUUUUUUCCAAAUCUGAUUGGAGCAGAUUUUUCAGUGUCCUAUGCCUCCUGAAUACUCGAGCUGGAGGUAUGGCACCUAGAAAAUAUCUUAGUUUUUGUUACAACUAUCUUAUUGAAGAAAGUUGUCCUUUACAUAGUCACCUAAUUUUUGCUGCCGAUGAAGAGAUAGUGAAGGUAACCAUCAUGUUCCUUGCUUUUUUGCAUAUGGAUUUCCUUCCCAGAUUAUAGUAAAGAUUUGCAGGAGUUCAUGAUAUAUAGUUUAACGUACAGAAUAUUUGGAUAUGCAUGUCAAGUUCUACCUUCGUUUUUACUACCCAGAUCUGAACUUGAAGUGGCAAUUUUGACCAUGAACUGUGAAAUAUUUAUCUCCAUUCGGUUGAUCUCCUUAUCAAGUAUAUUCUCACUGUAAUGUUAUUGGCUGUCUGGCUGAUGCUAAUUUGAUGAUUUUGUGUAACAAAUUGGGGAUUCUUUGGCCACAACAAAAACAUUGGAUCUAAGCGAAUUCUACUAACUUCGGUGCAGACCUAGGUAAACCACUGCAACUUGAACAAGGUUUGCGGACAAGCUUUGGUCUCUAGCUGCAUUUGGAGGUCAACACUCAAAAACAUCUGCAUACUGCAGUUUCCGCAAGCAGCAGACCUAGAUGAUCUGUUGUAGGUGCUUGAGCUACUGAUUCAUGCCACGAUUCAAUGCAGUCUCCCUUUGUAUAUCAACUUCAGUGAGAUAUACAUAUUGAGGACAAUGUGGUGCUCUUCUGUGUGGUAUUGUUUGACUCAUCGUUAAUGAAGAUGGGGCUCUUUGCGUGGAAUUUGUUGAUUUCUUUUAGACUUGUAGUACUUUCUGAUGUAAAGUGCUGUUUCUCAAGUAAAUAAAUUAGUAUCCGAUUUGCUUUUAUCUCUAAGAAUAGUUAAGGAAACACCUUUCAUAGCAUCCUUGUCUAGGAUAUAAUCUUUUUUUUUGCAUCACAAGUCUAGGAUAUAAUCAGUUGUACAAGGCAUAGGUCAUAAAAGGAAAUGACAUUUGCUAUUUUUCUCUGUAAGGUCAAGCUAUUCUGUCCUCUUGUUUUGUUAUAUAUGUGAAUCUCACACUUUA